AGCAGAAUGCCUGAGAGUAAAGGGUUAUUUUGAUAGAAUAAAUCACGUAAGUAAUUACUUCUGCUU
rnacentral:tRNA from 1 species